rnacentral:rRNA from 1 species
UACGUAGGGUGCAAGCGUUGUCCGGAAUUAUUGGGCGUAAAGAGCUCGUAGGCGGUCUGUCGCGUCGGCUGUGAAAACUCGGGGCUCAACUCCGAGCUUGCAGUCGAUACGGGCAGGCUAGAGUUCGGCAGGGGAGACUGGAAUUCCUGGUGUAGCGGUGAAAUGCGCAGAUAUCAGGAGGAACACCGUGGCGAAGGCGGGUCUCUGGGCCGAUACUGACGCUGAGGAGCGAAAGCGUGGGGAGCGAACAGG